UUUAAGCCUUGUUCUCUCAAUGCAAGUGUGCAAUGAGUUGCAAUUGGCUUCUACUUUAUUUAUCGACACAAUCAAAAACCAAUUAGGAAAACAACACCUCCCUCUACAGGUUCCUUGGACUGACAGCAGGACCUGCUACCUAGGUACAGCCAGUAACCUUGUAGUACGAGUUAUCUUCAUUUCACAGACUGUCAUUACAUUUGGGGCAUUUCCUGUGUCCUCCAGUAGUAUCUUGUUAACCUCAGGAGUACUGGUUAAGGUACACAAACUGAAUGCUGAUGUUCUUCACUCUAGCCAAAAUCUUAAGUCUACUUUGCAAAGGAGUGUCCCCAAAUAAUGGCAUUUUUUGUUGCAAA
ensembl:lncRNA